AUUGAACGCUGGCGGCAGGCCUAACACAUGCAAGUCGGACGGUGGCACAGAGGAGCUUGCUCCUCGGGUGACGAGUGGCGGACGGGUGAGUAAUGUCUGGGGAUCUGCCCGAUAGAGGGGGAUAACCACUGGAAACGGUGGCUAAUACCGCAUAACGUCGCAAGACCAAAGAGGGCGACCCUCGGGCCUCACACAAUCGGAUGAACCCAUAUGGGAUUAGCUAGUAGGCGGGGUAAUGGCCCAGCUAGGCGACGAUCCCUAGCUGGUCUGAGAGGAUGACCAGCCACACUGGAACUGAGACACGGUCCAGACUCCUACGGGAGGCAGCAGUGGGGAAUAUUGCACAAUGGGCGCAAGCCUGAUGCAGCCAUGCCGCGUGUAUGAAGAAGGCCUUCGGGUUGUAAAGUACUUUCAGCGGGGAGGAAGGCGAUGUGGUUAAUAACCUUGUCGAUUGACGUUACCCGCAGAAGAAGCACCGGCUAACUCCGUGCCAGCCGCCGCGGUAA
rnacentral:rRNA from 1 species